rnacentral:rRNA from 1 species
UACGUAGGGGGCUAGCGUUGUCCGGAUUUAUUGGGCGUAAAGAGCGUGUAGGCGGCCAGGUAGGUCCGGUGUGAAAACUCGAGGCUUAACCUCGAGAUGUCAUCGGAAACCAUUUGGCUAGAGUCCGGAAGAGGAGAGUGGAAUUCCUGGUGUAGCGGUGGAAUGCGCAGAUAUCAGGAGGAACACCAAUAGCGAAGGCAGCUCGCUGGGACGUUACUGACACUGAGGCGCGAAAGCUUGGGGAGCGAACAGG